AACAAAAACAUGUCUUUUUGAUUAUAAUUUAAAGUCUAACCUGCCCAAUGAAUUAUUUGAAUGGCCGCGGUAUUUUGACCGUGCUAAGGUAGCAUAAUAAUUAGUUUUUUAAUUGAAAACUGGUAUGAAUGGUUGAACGAGGAAAAAACUGUCUCAAUUUAAUUUAAUUAGAAUUUUAUUUUUAAGUAAAAAAGCUUAAAUAUGUUUAAAAGACGAGAAGACCCUAUAGAGUUUGAUAUUUUAUUAAAAAUUAAAUUAUUAUAUUUUUUUUUUAAUUUUAAUUAAAGUAUUUUAUUGGGGUGAUAAAAAAAUUGAAUAAACUUUUUUUAAAUUUUAUCAUUAAUUUAUGAAUAAGUGAUCCAUGAUUUAUGAUUAUAAGAUUAAAUUACCUUAGGGAUAACAGCGUAAUUUUUUUUGAGAGUUCAUAUCGAAAAAAGAGAUUC
rnacentral:rRNA from 1 species